rnacentral:rRNA from 1 species
GACGAACGCUGGCGGCGUGCCUAACACAUGCAAGUCGAGCGGAGAUGUACUGAAGAUUUAUCGGAUGUACAUCUUAGCGGCGGACGGGUGAGUAACGCGUGGGCAACCUGCCUUCCACUGGGGGAUAACACAGGGAAACCUGUGCUAAUACCGCAUGACAUCACAUAGGGCAUCCUGUGUGAUCAAAGGAGUGAUCCGGUGGAAGAUGGGCCCGCGUCCGAUUAGCUAGUUGGUGAGGUAACGGCUCACCAAGGCGACGAUCAGUAGCCGACCUGAGAGGGUGAUCGGCCACAUUGGAACUGAGACACGGUCCAAACUCCUACGGGGGGCAGCAGUGGGGAAUAUUGCACAAUGGGCGAAAGCCUGAUGCAGCAACGCCGCGUGAGCGAUGAAGGCCUUCGGUCGUAAAGCUCUGUCUCAAGGAAGAUAAUGACGGUACUUGAGGAGGAAGCCCGGCUAACUACGUGCCAGCAGCCGC